UACGUAGGGGGCAAGCGUUGUCCGGAAUCAUUGGGCGUAAAGCGCGUGUAGGCGGCUUGGUAAGUCUGCUCUGAAAGCCCGGGGCUCAACCCCGGGAGGCGGGUGGAUACUGCGACCUCGAGUCCGGAAGAGGCGAGUGGAAUUCCUGGUGUAGCGGUGAAAUGCGCAGAUAUCAGGAGGAACACCAAUGGCGAAGGCAGCUCGCUGGGACGGUACUGACACUGAGACGCGAAAGCGUGGGGAGCAAACAGG
rnacentral:rRNA from 1 species